UUGUGGAUUUCUCUCGCAACUAAAAUAACAGGGCCUACCUUCAUUUCUGCAGCUGUUCACUAAUGCUGACCUGAAGAGUAAUUUCUGAACAAAAUACCUGUUAUUCUUACCAAUAUUAAAGUAGAAAACAUGCAAAAUUCUUUUAAACUAAUGUAGGUUUUUCUUCAUCUUCAAAUGGCAGGUAAAUCAAAGUUUAGUGAGCUAGGAUAUUCUCUAACAUUUAUAUACUGAUGCAAAAAAGAAACUGCUUUUUAUGUUUGCUAUAUUUUGUUAAACUUUUUACACUACAAUGUAUUCAGAAUUACUGAGUUGAUUUUUCCAGUGUACACCCAUCUUUGUGUACAUAUUGCACAAAUUUGUCUUACAUUUUUACAAAUGUUUGCCCUGGAAACUGACAGAAUGCUUUUUAGACUCUAAAAACUUUCUUUAAAAAAUUGGUUUUGUCUUUUUGUAAAAACAAAAGUUUGCUAAAUUUCCCAAUGUCAAGGGUAUUGGUUACCUCGAAAAAACUAAAAAAAAAAAGAAAUAUUGAAAUGUUUUCCUCAUGCAACUGAGCGACAUGUUUUACAUGUUUUGUUUGUCUGCGACAGAUUUACUGAUAAUAAAAAAAAAAGAUAUUUCACAUUGAAUUCGACUUGUUUACAAUAUUUUGGUUCUUGCAUUGGCAAUAAGUGGUCAUUGCAACACAGUUAUCAAUCUGUGAUAGCAUUAUCAUUAAUGUGGAAGCUUCAGAGAUGAUCUGUGUUCAGGCAGACCAAAGGUAACAAAGCACAUAAAGACAGUUACCUGACAUUUAAGCAUCUACGUGACGUGCUUAAUACCACUACAAGUGCCGCAUUUCAAUGUAGCAAAUCUUAAAGCAACUCGCCCACUUGGGGUGAAAUUUUUCAACAUGUUGUUUUCCAGCAUGUUUGGCAUAGAAUGUAUAAUAUGACACUGAUAAAUAAAAAAAGAGGUGAAAAUAAAAGUUAGAUAUUGGUAAAAAUUCACUAAGAAUGUAAAUUUUCUGCAAUAUUUCAAAAGCGUUGCAAUGGUUUAUUGUCUUCUGUACAAAAUUAUUGGUUAUUUAUAAGAAUGUCUUACAGAAAUCUUAUGUCAAUAAGUUUGUACCACUGGUCACAUUCAGAGUUCUCACUUUUUAUGGAUUUCGGAGAGAAAUUAUUUUUCACCUAAAAUGUGUCGGUUACUCCCUUUAACAAACCUUUCUUAACCAGUAAGGGCUAGGCAGCCUUGCACAGGUCAGAUUCUUAUAGUUAUCUUCAGCAGCUGUAAGCCCAUGUCAAUUACGUUGGUCUCUGCCCAAAGCGCUAGAGUGUUGUUUAGCAAGUCUUCAUAUCUUAGCUGUGUUGACAGUUGGGUAGGCAUUUUCUACUGUCAUGGCAAAUAUUUUGCUGAUAAAUGCUUGUUGGAGUAGGAUCAAUUUGGUUGGGGCAGUGCUUUGGUUAGGGAUGGGAUAAUGGAGGAUCAAAAAAACAAACCUGGUCAUCAUACCAGAGAAAUUAAAUGCCCAUCAUUAUAUGACAACAUUCUCAGUCACUUGGUGGUUCAAUUUCUGCCUCCCAGUGAGCUGAUCAACGAUAAUGCAAAACCACAUACUGCUCUGCUAAGAAAUGUUACCUUGCCAGUAAGGCUCCUACUGUUAAGGUAUAUGCAUGUCUUUACAGUUGACUGAAAAAAUAGUAAAACCUGAGUGCACAGUUUCUUCUUUGCGUCAGUAUUUGUACAAACUUCAGUAGAAAUCUUAAAGACUUUCAGAGGUAGAAAACUGUGGAGACCUAGGUUUUGUUGCAUGUUGGUGAUUGAAAUCUUUUUGUAUUGCCUUAGUGCAAUGGAGCUUAUUAAUAAAUAUUGUGAAACAUAACAUUACAGAUGUUAAACUUAACGUGCAUUGAUUGUUUAAUGCACACCUCUGUCAUAUAUGAUUAUUUCCACUAAGGUAGGCAACUUAGUAGGAACUAUCAAGGACAGAGGUAAGUUAGAUAUUGUGAAACACUUUCUUCAACUAAAAAAAAACAUGAAACAUUUGCCAUCCAAUAAAGUUCUUACACAUACUCUGCAUUAAGGUUAGUGGCACACAUUGCUGAAUUGGAACCCUGGCCUGUACAGGUAUAGUGGAGGGGUCUGCAUUUCACUCUGAGUAGCUGCUUCUUACCAUGGAGCAGAAAUUCAGCUCACAGUCGAUACAUCCUUGUCAGAUGUGUCAUUUACAAAAUGAUUUUCAAGUAGUAAAACUCCUGGUAGUAAAUGAGAUGUUAAAAGAAAAUUGUGAAGAAUACUUUAUCAUGUUAAACCUCUAAGAAAAUACUUUAUAUAUAUAUGUAUAUAUACAGGGUUCGCACAGGCUUGAAAAGUACUUGAAAAUGAAGGGCAGUCUUGAAAUGUCCUUGAAAACAAAAUUUGUCUUGAAAAGUGCUUGAAAAUUGCCCAAAGACCUUGAAAAGUACUUGAAUUUCUUAUUUUCUCGUUUGCUAGACAAUUAAAAUCUCCCUGAAAAUCAAAAGUAAAUCUUUUAGAAUAAAAUCGGCAAGUUUCGAGCAAUGGACAGAGCUACGAAAACACCGUAAUAAAAAAGGUCGAAUGUGUUCGGGACGAAAGCGGAGUUUGGGUACGAAUGUUUCGUACUUUCUGUUAGCGUUGUCUCCCCUGACUAAAAUGGCGUCGGCUAGAAUUUACAAAUCUGUGUAUGUAUUAUUUAUAAAUAAGUCCUUGAAAACUAUAAGACUAGUGCUUGAAAAGUCCUUGAAAAGUCCUUGAAUUUGACUUGGCCUUGUCUGUAUGAACCCUGAUAUAAAUUACAGGGAUCAACACUUAACGGUGAUCCCUAACCCGCUGACAGUAGGUUUUCAGGGGGAUAAAUAAAUCCUGAAAGCUAACAGGUACCCUGGACCAACAGAAAUUCAAAAGUUGUCGGUCUGAUUUUAUGUUACCUCCAUAGUUAGUGCGGAAAUUUUCUAUACAGCAGUUUCUAAGUUACUAAUAACUAUACAAAAAGACGUUGUAGAUUCAUGAAAGGUACAAUGUAUUCUUUUAAAUGAAAACAAAGCCAUUUAAAUAGUUACUUAAAUACCAAUGUUCAUAUCAUUAAAAUUGUAUUGAUAGCUUGUGGGGACCACCUAGAUUUGAGGGGAUCACUAUAUUUUAAAAGUUUGUGGAAAAAUAGUUAAGUGUCUACCCCUUAUAAGCAUUAAGGUAAGGAACUUGUGAGUUGCAGUUCUACAUGGUCCUUUUACUCAUCUAGUUGUCAGAAAUAAGUUGAAAGGGGUAACAGGAGUAGAGGAUAUGAAAUACACUGAGUUUUAGAUUAUUAAGAAAACAUACUUUCUCUUCAUUAAAUUAACAUUUUGAAAUAUUUGUGAAAUGAAAAUGAUAUCUGUGAGUGUGUGGUAGUUGUGUCUGUAAAGAACUUGGUCUGUUAGAUAUAUUUAGAGAUGCUCACUAUCUGAAUUUGUGCGUACUUGAUUAUUCUAUAUUUGUAAAUUUGUAAUGCAUGCACAUUUUUACUUUUCUAUGUACAUACAGGCAACCUUUUAUAUAUAGGACGAGAACGAUGCCACAGCCAUUGAUUGAUACACAUCUACCAUCUAUCAUAGUAUAUUGUCGAGCAUGUAUGUCAGGGAGAUUGUCAGAGAAUACAUCAGGUCCUCCAGCAACACUGAGAGAACUUCAGGCAUUUUCCAAACACAUGUCACUACCAUCCAAAAACAUCUUUAUAUAAAUGACACUUUUAUAUGUGUAAGAGAUUUUUUUAAAACUACUCACCAUCCAAGAUUCCAUUAGAAAAAAAGUGAACAGUUGUGAAAUCCAGAUGUAGAGAAAUGGUAAUAUAUGUGUUUUCUAACAUCAUUGUCUAUUUUUAAUUAUCUACAAAUCAGAUUAAAGAUUAUUUAAUGAAAUCGAUGAAAAAUUCAACAUAGACUGGAUUUAUUUCCAACAUAUUUAAUAUUUGAAUAAUACAAUAUAAUCUUAUAUUUUAUUUAAUUUUUUUUUUUUUGCUGUUGGCUCAAAUUGUUUCUAUUGAUGUAUAAUUUUAUAUCAGUUAUAAAAAUGGGUUUAAAGUAUGAAUGAAUUUUGUCAUAGCAUCACACAGAGAGGUAAAAGUGAUAUAAAAUUGUAUGUAAACACCUGUAAAGAGAUUAUAACCAGUUUUGUUUGUAUUGUUUUUCUUGAACUUUUUGUUUGUAUCCAUGAUUUUUUACCUGCAGUGCCUUCACAAAUAAGAAUAAAUUUCAAGUUCAGAUAAGAUAGUAAAAGAUGUUAAAUUUUAUUCUAAGAGCUACAAUUUAGAAUUAUUUUGAACACAUUUUAUAUGGACAAGUUAUAAACCAUGCAUAUUCCUGGUGUAAAAUCUUUACCUCUUCUAUUAUAUACAGUAAGUGAAAGCUUAACCACAGAAAAGUUAUCAAGUAUGAAGUCCUCUCGUGUGCUGUUUUGACAGAGUUUAAAAAUCUGUAUAAUUAGUUAAAUGCUAUAUGUACUUGUUUUUUUUUCUGCAAACUUACUUAUUGUUUUAGAGUUUAUUAGGCUCUGUUUAUGUAUGUAAGUGUCUCAUUACAUGUAUAAAUGGCAAAUACUACUGAGGAUUAGCACAAGAAUGGCACUGCACUCAUCUCAUUAUUAUUUUUCUUUGAUUAAUGAGAGUAAACGAAUGUCGCACAAUUUUCCGAUGCUUGUUUAGGCAAAAUGUCCAGGUAAAUUAAGACUGUCAAGAAAAUAUGGAUUUCAUGCAUAAGGUUUGUCAGUUUAGUCAAGUUACGAGCUGUUAGCGAUAUUACUGUUUUCGUAUAUAGAGUCAUGUACGACAUUUGAAAAGAAUGCUUUAGAAGUUCAUUUUUUUGUUCAUCAUUUUCUUUGAGAAUUAUUUUUAGCUCACCUGUCACAAAGUGACAAGGUGAGCUUUUGUGAUUCCGCAGCGUCCGUCGUCCGUCCGUCCGUCCGUAAACUUUUGCUUGUGACCACUCUAGAGGUCACAUUUUUCAUGGGGUCUUUAUGAAAAUUGGUCAGAAUGUUCACCUUGAUGAUAUCUAGGCCAAGUUCGAAACUGGGUCACGUGCGGUCAAAAACUAGGUCAGUAGGUCUUAAAAUAGAAAAACCUUGUGACCUCUCUAGAGGCCAUAUUUUUCAGAAGAUCUUCAUGAAAAUUGGUCAGAAUGUUCAACUUGAUGAUAUCUAGGUCAAGUUCGAAACUGGGUCACGUGCCUUCAAAAACUAGGUCAGUAGGUCAAAUAAUAGAAAAACCUUGUGACCUCUCUAGAGGCCAUAUUUUUCAUGGUAUCUGUAUGAAAGUUGGUCUGGAUGUUCAUCUUGAUGAUAUCUAGGUCGAAUUUGAAACUGGGUCACGUGCGGUCAAAAACUAGGUCAGUAGGUCUAAAAAUAGAAAAACCUUGUGACCUCUCUAGAGACCAUACUUUUAAAUGGAUCUCAUGAAAAUUGGUCAGAAUGUUCAUCGUGAUGAUAUCUAGGUCAGGUUCGAAACUGGGACACAUGCGGUCAAUAACUUGGUCAGUAAGUCAAAUAAUAAAAAAACCUUGUGACCUCUCUAGAGGCUGUAUUUUUCAUGGGAUCUGUAUGAAAGUUGGUUUGAAUGUUCAUCUUGAUGAUAUCUAGAUCAAGUUUGAAACUGGGUCAACUGUGGUCAAAAUCUAGGUCAGUAGUUCUAAAAAUAGAAAAACCUUGUGACCUCUCUAGAGGCCAUUCUUUCAAAUGGAUCUUCAUGAAAAUUGGUCAGAAUGUUCACCUUGAUGAUAUCUAGGUCGAGUUUGAAACUGGGUCAUGUGCAGUCAAUAACUAGGUCAGUAGGUCAAAUAAUAAAAAAACCUUGUGACCUCUCUAGAGGCCAUAUUUUUCAUGGGAUCUGUAUGAAAGUUGGUCUGAAUGUUUAUCUUGAUGAUAUCUAGGUCAACUUUGAAACUGGGUCAACUGCGGUCUAAAACUUGGUCAGUAGGUCUAAAAAUAGAAAAUCCUUGUGACCUCUCUAGAGGCCAUACUUUCAAAUGGAUCUUCAUGAAAAUUGGUCAGAAUGUUCACCUUGAUGAUAUCUAGGUCAAAUUCGAAACUGGGUCAUGUGCAGUCAAUAACUAGGUCAGUAGGUCAAAUAAUAAAAAAAUCUUGUGACCUCUCUAGAGGCCAUAUUUUUCAAUGGAUCUUCAUGAAAAUUGGUCAGAAUUUUUAUCUUGGUGAUAUCUAGGUCAGGUUCAAAACUGGGUCACAUGAGCUCAAAAACUAGGUCACUAUGUCAAAUAAUAGAAAAAACAACGUCAUACUCAGUUCAAAACUGGGUCAUGAGGGAACAGGUGAGCGAUUCAGGACCAUCAUGGUCCUCUUGUUUUUAAGAAGGUAAAUUGGUUACUUUUAACCUACUUGAUUUUAAGAUAAUAGGGUGAUGUACAGCACAGUGGUAUUUUUAACUACAUAAAAGUGUGUGAUAAAUUUGUAAUAGAGAAAAGUAUUUUCCUUUGAAAUUUAAAUUUGAAUGUGUAAAAGAAUUUGUUAUAAUUUUCCUUCACAAAAUUGGUAACUUUAUAAUCUUAGUAGAAUUUCUGCAGUUAUAAACUUAAUACCAUUAGUAAAGGUGCACACACCUUAACAGUGUUUUGAAGCAUGUAUAUUUUACCGCAAAGUGGUCAUUCUCUUUCACAUACCAUAGUACACAUUUUAUGAUUAUGUUAUUUGUAAUAAUAUGUUCUGGAUAUUAAAUCAUUUUUUCUUUAUUAACUUACAGAAUUCCACACAACACUGUUGUAAUACCUAUCAAAGUUCAUGGUACAUUUUAACUCAUUUUUGACACAAGUAUAAGUAGUUUAUUUAAUAAGUGCUAGGCCUGAACAGCUAUUAGUUGAGAUUGACUUUUCAUGAUAAUUUAAUGAAAAUGAUUUAUAUAGUCAUCCCAUCUUAAAGUGGCAUUACACCUAAUUCCUGAGGCCCGUAAGUUUUCACUUGAAUGCCAGUUGACAGCCUCGCUUAAUUCUGUAAACAUUUAAGGUUACUCUGUAUUGGCAGAGAAAACACUUAAAAGAAGAUAGAGGUCUUCUGUUUAUAAAUAGCUUCAUAUUAACCAGACUUGUUUUCUCUAUGUAUGUUACCCUUUGUUGUCAAUUUAAUGUAAUUAUCAGUAGUUCAUGAAUAUGUUUUAAUACUAGAUUCUGGACAGAAAUGUACCAUUUGAUGUGUUUUCAUGCAGAGUAAGUAUGUUGACACAAGGCAUACUGACAGAUAUGUACUUCAGGGAAGGUCCUAUGUGUAGCUGCUGUAAAAAAGUUUGUAAUUGAAAAAUUUGUUGACUGGAGCAUAUGGUGAUCAAUUUUUAUAUGAAAAAAAAAAACAACUGUUUACUGGUUAUUUGACAGAUUUGCAAUAAGAAAGAAUGUGAACAUGAUCAGAUAUAUGAUAGGUAAAUACACUUGACAGGAUAAAUUUGAUAAUCUGUACUAUACAUGAGAAUGCAUGUAAAUGUAUUUUUGACUCAUACCAUCUUCCCAUGGUGUAAAUGGUAUACCCGAGACAACUGCAACAGAUACAGAAGUUUAACUUUUCAGGAAAAAAUAAUUAACUCUGUGAUAAAUGAAUCAAAUAUAUUUCAUUUUAUAAGUAAAUUUCACUUGUAUCUUUUCAGUUGGAAUUUUUUUUAAUGAUUUCUUUCUUUCAUCAUGAGAGAUAGGAAAACUUGGAAUGUAUUGAAGCAGAUUUACUGAACUGGAUACAUACUAUACAUUUUAAGGGUAAUUGCUCUUUGAUUUAAAUGAAAAUACACUACUUAACAUUUAAUUGAAGUGCCCACCUGUACUAACAAUGACCAAUAUUUCUCAUUUAUGUGAUUAAUCUAUGUCAUGUAUUGUAGAAUUUAAAUGUAAACACAAUACUUUAAUGAUGAAAGUUAACAUAAUUCCAAUGUGCUAAUUUUUUUAUAGAAGUGUAUUUUGCCAGUGAUUUGAUGUUAAAUUUCUGUGAAAUAUCUCUCUUCAGAGUCUUGUAUUACAGUAGUUGUUACACAGUUGAUGGUUAAUUCAUAAAGUGCUAUCUUUAAUAAGGACUUACAAAGUAAGGUUGCGUAAUUGCUGCAGUCUUUAAUAAGAAUUAUUUGUUUCUUUUCGAGAUUUGAUACAAACUGAAAUAUAUAGCCAUAGCUGACUUAACUUUCCUCAUUGCUAGAUGCAGAUUAUAAUGUACUUUCUGUUUUAGUUCUUAAUUCUUAUUUCGAUAUAUUUUUUUUAUACACAAUAUUCGUGCUUUUUCAUUUACGAUGACAUGUAUGCUGGAUGAAUGUGAAAAAUGUUGUAUCUGAUAGAGGUAAAAAAGCACCAGAUACAAUGAUUUAAAAGUGAUCAUUUCACAAAUUAUUUAUAUAAUGUAUGAAUUGUUGCAAGACCUCCAUUUAUAUCCUGUUGAAGCUUUAUACAAUAGAUGUAUUAUGUUCUUGAUUUUUGUACACAAGUGUACAGGAGAUACAAGUUGAAACAAAUGAACGAGAUGCCUAUCAAUGGUUCAUCUGGUGCAACAAAAAUAGCUGUGUGAUAUUUGCAGUUACCUUAAAUCAGAAGUUACAUCAGUGAAUUUGAAAAGAAAUUCUUAAGUCAAGUACAAGGAAGAAGAUACAGGCUGUGUGAUUUUUGCAAUGUAAUUUAUAAACUUAUAUAUAAUUUCAAAUUUGACUCUUCAUUUAAAUAAACUGAAACUGUAUUGGUUCUGUCAAAUUCUCUAACAUUACUUGAUGUCGAGUUAACACAUACGCAGGUAAUUGUAUGCAUUUGAUUAAAUCUUUAUUCAAAAAUACACCAGUUAUAUUCUUUUAUCUUUUAAAAAAAAAGACUUCCAAUUUCAGACAUGAAGAAGAAAAAAAUCACUUGUUAGAAAAAUUUAUUAAACUAGAACAUUUGAGGAACUGUAGAUAUUGCAUUUGUAGCUGUUUGGGGUAGCAUGCUGAAGAUGGGCUGUAAUUAUACGCGAAAUGUGUUCUCACAUAGGUUCUGUUCAUGUUUUAUUUCUGUAUACGAUAUAAAUGUUAUUAUGGACGUUUGUUAUUUUGAUCAGGUUUCAAUCAUUUUUGUACAAAUUCAUUGUAUACCUAAUCAUUUAUGAAUUUGUAUGUUAUAAAAUUAUUGUGAGAAUGUUACAAA